rnacentral:rRNA from 1 species
AGAGUUUGAUCCUGGCUCAGAUUGAACGCUGGCGGAAUGCUUUACACAUGCAAGUCGAACGGCAGCACGGGAGCUUGCUCCUGGUGGCGAGUGGCGAACGGGUGAGUAAUGCGUCGGAACGUACCGAGUAAUGGGGGAUAACGCAGCGAAAGCUGUGCUAAUACCGCAUACGCCCUGAGGGGGAAAGUGGGGGAUCGCAAGACCUCACGUUAUUCGAGCGGCCGACGUCUGAUUAGCUAGUUGGUGGGGUAAUGGCCUACCAAGGCGACGAUCAGUAGCGGGUCUGAGAGGAUGAUCCGCCACACUGGGACUGAGACACGGCCCAGACUCCUACGGGAGGCAGCAGUGGGGAAUUUUGGACAAUGGGGGCAACCCUGAUCCAGCCAUUCCGCGUGAGUGAAGAAGGCCUUCGGG